UGUUGUUUUAAGCUACUAAGUUUGUGGUAUUUGUUACAGCAGCAUUUGGAAACUAAUACUUUGCUGUUAUGUUUAUGGAUAUACAUAGGUUGUGGGCUCUCUGAUUGUAUGGAUGAACAUUUCACUACCUCACUUUAUGAUCAUGAAAGUAAACUAGUUGGAGACAAAAUUAAAUCUCUGCAUCAAUAAUUGCAUGGGUCAGUAUGCUUCUGAUGAUGGGGAAAUUCAAAGAAAUAAAUACCAUGUAAAGAUAGAGGUUAAUUCUGUUAGUCAGCUAAUGACACUGUUAAGGAUAUCUGCUGGAGCUGUGUAUUAAGCUCAGUGUUUCAAUUAGAGGAAGAGGAGAGGAACUCAUGGGUAAAGGACGCAAGAUUCAUUGAAGGUAUGGAUGGUACUGGUCCCCUCCUGAGAUGUUCUUGACCAGCCACAGAAACAUUCACAAUAUCUUCCUGUGUGUACUUUUCUCAUGACAUAUUUUCAUUUAGAAGGCCUUAUGCACUAAAACAGGGAUUUUACUUAUUUUUUAUUUUUUUAAGGUGACCAUUUUUUUAUAUUAAAUAUAAUUUAUUGUCAAAUUGGUUUCCAUACAACACCCAGUGCUCAUCCCAACAAGGGCCCUCCAAAGUGCUAAAACAGGGACUUUAAUGUGGUCAUUUACUUUCUAUAAGUUCUAAGAUACAGUGAUUGGCUUCUUUGUGACAUAUAAACACAGCUAAGUUCUAGAAUGAUUAAGUAGCAGACUUAAAAAAAGGUCUAAUGAUUUCAUCAGUAGAAGCAGCACAUGACACCUCCAUGUCCUUUACUGGGGAUUUGAUCCAUCCAGAAGAAAGCCAUGCCCAUAUCCUUUCCCCUCAAUACUAGAUCUCAAGAAAUAGCGCUCGCUGAGCACAGGAAUUGAACACAGGAAUUGAGCACAAGCUGGAUGUGGAUAUGAAGAUCCUGGAGAAUAUAACAGACCUAGUUCUUGCUUUUGUGGACUUUGCAUUCUGGAGGAAUGUGAAGAAGGAGAUAAUCUGGACAUAUGGACAACAGAUGAGAACUGCCAAGCAAAGAGGCAGACGGUCUGGGUAGAUAGUGGAUGUACGAACUGUGUUUUUAUGGUGACAACUGAAGUUGACAGGACAAGGAAUAUAGCCUUACUUACGGAUUGCAAGUGAAACCUGCUUUUUCCAAUGAUAAUGGG
rnacentral:lncRNA from 1 species